GGGCUACACAGCGCUUCUACCUGCCUCUAUACACGGACACCACCACAUCAUCCAGCUCCUGAUCAACAUCUACAAUGCCAGAACUAACAUCAGGGACUACCAUGGGAAGCUUGCAGCCCAUUACUGGAGUGGCAAUGCUGAUGUGUUCAACAAACCAGGCUCGCAGUCAUGUGGGAAAUGGUCAUCAAAAGGAGGAAGAAAGGCCCCGCGCUACACCAACCUACCCUCUCUGCUCCUCUCUCGCUCGCGGAGCCAGGGGAACCUCAACAACCUGGAGUUUGGGACUGCGCCUCAGACCCCACGGCCCCCCCGCUCCCCAUCCAGUAUAGACUUCCACAGCUUCCAAUCCCCACAGCUCUAUGGAGAUCAUUUCUGAUUAAAGAUAGAUAAUAGAUUGUUUUAAUCUGCAUCCCAAAUGGCACCCUAUUCCCUGUAUAGUGCAUAUAUAUAUAAAUAGUCCCAUAGGGCUCUGGUCAAAAGGAGUGAACCAUGUAGGGAAUAGGGUGCCAUUUGGGACGUAUUCUUAUUUUUCUAUUACGAUCAUGGCUAUAAAGUAUGAUUGGUCACUUCAGAGAAGCACAAAAGGAUUUGAUUGGUUGAAAGUUGUUCAACUGUCUGGCACAGGUCUCUCUCCUUACUAUGGCAUUUUAGCAUGUACACUGAACAUAAAUAUGAACGCAACAUGUAAAGUGUUGGUCCCAUUUUUUUAAUGAGCUGAAAUUAAAGA